CUGGCUCAGGAUGAACGCUAGCUACAGGCUUAACACAUGCAAGUCGAGGGGCAGCAUGAACAUAGCUUGCUAUGUUUGAUGGCGACCGGCGCACGGGUGCGUAACACGUAUCCAAUCUGCCCGUCACUCGGGGAUAGCCUUCUGAAAGGAAGAUUAAUACCCGAUGGGAUGCAUUUCCGGCAUCGGAGAUGCAUUAAAGAUUUAUCGGUGACGGAUGAGGAUGCGUACGAUUAGCUUGUUGGCGGGGUAACGGCCCACCAAGGCAACGAUCGUUAGGGGUUCUGAGAGGAAGGUCCCCCACACUGGAACUGAGACACGGUCCAGACUCCUACGGGAGGCAGCAGUGAGGAAUAUUGGUCAAUGGACGAGAGUCUGAACCAGCCAAGUAUUAUCGAUAGUUACCAUCAGGUUAAGCUGGGGACUCUAGCGGGACUGCCACUGCAAGGUGUGAGGAAGGGGGGGAUGACGUCAAAUCAGCACGGCCCUUACGUCCGGGGCGACACACGUGUUACAAUGGUGAGUACAGAGUGAAGCUACCUGGCGACAGGAUGCAGAUCUCGAAAGCUCAUCCCAGUUCGGAUUGGAGUCUGCAACCCGACUCCAUGAAGUUGGAUUCGCUAGUAAUCGCGCAUCAGCCAUGGCGCGGUGAAUACGUUCCCGGGCCUUGCACACACCGCCCGUA
rnacentral:rRNA from 1 species